CCGCCACAAGCGAACGAGCCUGGGCUGGCCUUGUGGAAGCCUAGCCGAGGCCUCAGAAUAUGGAUGAGAUCAUCUGAGACCAUCCACCCCAGGAAGCCAGCAAAGUGGCUAGAACCCGCCAUACCACCGCAGAAUCACGAUUGCUGUUCUGAGUCACUACAUUUCAGGUGACUUGUUGAGCAGCAAACGAGCUGACGAACCUAAAGUCAGAAGAUGCUAGCGGAAGAAACAGGACCCAGAACUCCAUUGGAAAAUGGGGUAUACAGACUUCGAGGAUGCCAGACAAAAAGAUCAUUUGAAAUAUUGUUGUCACUAAGCCUUCUUUGAUCAAGACACCAUGAGCUCAUGGCUAAUGGAAGCACGACAGUGAGCAAGACAGACAAGGUCACUACCCGCAAGGAGCUGUUGAUGGAGAAUAACAUGCAAAGAAGAAGGCAGGAUUGAGCUUUCAGCUGCUCUGUAGAUUCUCAUCAGAGGUGCAGACUCUUCUUUGUGGAUCAUACCUACAUUUUAUUUUUCCUGAAAAUAUAGUAUGUAUUCAGGGCACACAGGCAUCUUCUAUUCACUUCAUCAUCAACACUUGUCAAACAAAAACUGCUAUUCAUGCUACAGACUCAUGCAGCUCCCUGCAUUUUGAAAGAAUUGCCUCCCUCUUCUGAGCCUGGCUCAAGGUCCUCUGAAAGAAUCUGGAGGAAAUGAUGAUGCUCAGGAGACAAUUCAUGAUCACUCGGAAUUUCUGACAACCAUG
rnacentral:lncRNA from 10 species